rnacentral:tRNA from 1 species
GGAUUGUGGCUCAGUGGUAGAGUGUUCACCUAGCACGUGAGAGAUGCUGGGUUUGAUCCUCAGCACCA